GGGGAUUUGGCUCAGUGGUAGAGCGCUUGCCUAGCAAGCACAAGGCCCUGGGUUCAGUCCCUAGCUCCA
rnacentral:tRNA from 1 species